rnacentral:rRNA from 1 species
UACAGAGGUCUCAAGCGUUGUUCGGAUUCAUUGGGCGUAAAGGGUGCGUAGGCGGCGCGGUAAGUCGGGUGUGGAAUCUCGGAGCUUAACUCCGAAACUGCAUUCGAUACUGCCGUGCUUGAGGACUGGAGAGGAGACUGGAAUUUACGGUGUAGCGGUGAAAUGCGUAGAUAUCGUAAGGAAGACCAGUGGCGAAGGCGGGUCUCUGGACAGUUCCUGACGCUGAGGCACGAAGGUCAGGGGAGCAAACAGG